ensembl:lncRNA
CCUGGGCUCACUUCCAAAUGUGAAACUGUGGGAUUCCUGCACUCCUACAUAUGAGACCCAGACUGAACUCAAAGGACUGACCAGUUUACCUCCCCAACCAGACUACUUUCUUCAUAGUGCACAAUUGAAAUUGGAGUACACUCGGGUUUCCUUACUUUGAAAAAGCUCAGAAGGAGCAUUUACAUCUCCUAGUGAAAGACUGCAGAAUGGAGCUGAAAUUAAGUUAUUAGAGUUCACGAUUUGUCUUGGCCCAGAGCCUAAUCCAGUUUAUAAUCCAAGAUCUAUGUUGGAGUCUCUGCAUCAGGUUUCCAUGGAAAUAAAUCAGAGGCAUUGCUUUGGGAGCAACCUACAUGGAUCUACACGUCUUGCUGCUGCAAUUCAUAAACAGAAUAUUGACAAAUUCCUCAGAUUAUAAUUAUAACGAUCUGAAAAAUCAAAUGGCAAGAGUUUGAGAUGGGACUAGUUCACAUGUUGGAGUUGAAGUCAAAGAAGUCUGGACAAAUGGUGCUGAGUCAUGUAUAUAAUAAUUUCUUCAACAACUGCUUCCCAUAUUUGCAUGUUCAACUUUGCUAGGGAAUCGUUUCUCAGUAUAUUUCAUGGACUCAGAUGUCAGAUCAAGGGAGAAACAUUCACUACAACCAGAGGUUACAGAGCUUAACAGACCUACAAAUUAACUUCAAGCUGUCAUUUGGUCUUAGAUAUGGUGAGCUUAAGCUUAUGGUCUUUUUUAAUUUAGAAAGACUAACAGGGAAAAAUGACAUGCAGAGUGACAGUCUUACAGAACUCUAGGAAUGGAUAUUUUAUAUGUUGAAACUAUGUCUGUACCAUUUUGAAUAAAGGCAAUUAUAUUCAUAUCUGGCUGAAAAUUAACCUGUAAUCUGUUAGGAUGUGAUGUGUAUAUUGAACAACUGCUAGGGGCAAAGAUCUGAAGUUUUUGUUGUUUGCAGAGAUCAUAUCUAGCUCUUCUGUGCCUCUAAUUCUAAACUUCUUGCACCUUGAGUACUGCAUUCAGUUUUGGGCCCCUAACUACAAGAAAGACAUUGAGGCCUAAGGAAUCUGGAGCACAAAUCUUAUGGAGAGCAGCUGAGGGAACUGGGGUUGUAUAGUCUGGAGAAGAGGAGGUUCAGGGGAGACCUUAUCGCUCUCUACAUCUACCUGAAGGGAGAUUGUGACAAGGAAAGGUGGAACUUUAUUCCUUGUGAAAAAGAAGCAUGAUUGUUCUUCCUCAGACAUUAUCUGAAUCUGCUAGAACUGCUCACAUCAGAAAGACCAAUGGCUGGAAAUGUUGAUAUUACUAGAAGUACUGUCAUAGAUGUUUAGAGAAAUGUAAUUGUUUACUUAUAAGCAUUUGUUUAUACAUUCUGCUGUAGUUGAAGUUAUAUCACAAUAUUUCUGCAGAAACAAAUUUUGAUGUCUGAAACUAGAGUUCUGUUUCCUUUCUAUGGCAAGAUUCUAGGUAUUGAUAUUAGUCUCACUGGGUGUCAUGAAAUCACGAAUCUUUCUUUCUGGACGUAUGCAUCAGGUAGGCAUUUAAUUGGCAUUUCUCUUUAAAAAAAAGUAGCUGCCUUAAUGUCUAAUGACUGAUUUGCCCUUCAUGAUACAUAAAUUGGUAGUAGCUUUUUUUAUAUACAAAGAAAUACUCAUUCCCAUAGAGAAACCUUUUUCUCUUUCCUGAAUGAAAUGACACAGAUCUACAGUUUUCUGAGCCAAGCUUAUAAAAGGUUGUUACAAAUGGAGCACAAUUGUGGGAGGUAGGGAUCUCAAAUUCUAAUUUAGGCAUUCUUUGAGGUAAAGAACUUGUGAUGCUCACUUUCAACUGUCUGAACACUCUUAUGUUUUUGAGAUAUAGGCUAACAUAGAGACUAGGAGGCAUAUAAGCUUAUAUGAUUCUCUGUACAGGGUUAGAUAUUAUUCAUUUUUGCUAUUGCUUUGUGUUUGUAAAUGUUUUAAAAUAUAAUGCCUUGUGUAAGUGCUAAAUCUUUUCAUAGCUUAAGUAGUUCUAGUAAAAUAGCAGAUUUUCCCUAAUCAUUUUAAUUACAAAAAGCAAUUGAUAAUCUCUCUCUUCUUUGGACAGAGAGAGCUUUUGAUUUACAUUUCUGUGCAUCUCAUUCUUUUUCUGAAAGCCUGUGUACACUACAAAAAAUUGAAAUAUUUUGCUUCAUAGGAGCAGCAUACAUAUAGGCACACACAAACUUCAGUGUCAUUAUGGCUCUAUCCUUUUGAAAGCCUACUUUAAAAAAAAAUAAGGACCUAGUAUUUCUAAAGUCCUUAAGAAGGGAAAGAAGCUGCUGCAGACUUAGUUGAAGUGGUAUGACAGUAUUCCAUUACACAUUUGCCAUUUGAUUCUCCUGAGUAAAGCUUCACUAUAAUUGAACUCUACACGUUUUGCACUUUGUGAACUCAACUGGUACCUCAUGCUUUUCUGAAGGAUGUAAAUGUAUUUAAACACUCACAGGUUAUGCAGUUUGUGAAAAUGGUACCGAACAGCUAUCUAUGGAUGUACUCUAGAAUAUCUGUGUUUCAGAUCAUCUCAUACUUUGCUGCUUCAUAGCAAUUAUGUAGGAGGGGCAUGAAGGGAUGAUAAAUACAUAGCAGAGAAGCUCAGCGAAAUCUUUCCAUUGGCAUUUAGCACUGAGACUCCAACACCUGAUGCACUUCUGUAGUAGAUAGACUAGAAUAUGUAGGUCAGUUUGAAGUAACUACAUCAAAAGUAUUGGUUCAGUCAGGCAUAUUAGACAGACUAGACUUGACUCAGUGUCAAGUGGUGGACAAUAAGCCACCAAAAUUUUGGACAUGUUUAGAAAAGUUAGUGAGAUUAUUCUUAGAAACAAAGAACACCCGAAUGGAGAGUACAGAGUACAUAACUGGUAUACCCAUACCCUGAGUCUCAUGUGUAGUUUGGUCUAGAUAUCUAAGGAAGGGUGUAGCAGAGUUGAAAGAAGUGUGGAGAAAAACAAGUAAAAUAUUUGAAGUGAUAGAGCAGAUGCCUUCUGUAGACACACUAAAAGGCUGGGAGACUUAAUUUAGAAGCAGAGAAGGCUGUGGGAGAAUAUGACAGAAGGUAGAUAAGUCAUAAACUGAAUACACAGAAGUUGUUCACAAAAUACCACAAUAUUAGGCCCCUGGGAACUUGAAAUCAGUUGAGGUUUUAUUUAAAGCUGAUGAAAUAAAGUUCUUUACACAGUGAACUUCAGAAACUGGGGUCAUUGGAGAAGGUGGAAGCAGCCAGUACUGGAAGGUUUAUGAAGGGGUAAAGCUCUCACAAAUGAGCCUUUAACCCUUUUAAGGCUGGGCAGAGUUGUAUCAACUGACAAUAUUCAUAAAACCAUUCUGUACACUGAGGAUGCGUAUAAGGGGAUUGAACUGCAGAAAGUGGCCAAGUUAUGUGCUCUCUUUGAAUGUCAACUAUUGAAUAUUGCAUGAGUACACUCUUUCCUCUGAAGGAAAUUUACUAAGUAUCCUCAUUUUUGUCCAGCCAAAGAGUUUUGCAUGUGGUUUCUUUCAGAGUAUGUCCAAACUGCUCUUUAAACAAGACUGAAAUUUUUGUGUCUUUGUGAAUGAGGAUUGAAUAUUCCUUUGCAAUACCCAGGCUACCUCAUCCAGUGUGGAAGUAUUGAAUGAUUCCUAUGCAGAAAACAAAACAGCAUACAGGUUCUGCUAAGUCUGAUCAAGAAACAAUGAGGUGAUAUGUCCUGAAAAAUUCAGUCAUUGCUAAGAAUUCAGUACAAUUCAUUCAAAAUAGUGGAAUUAGUGAUAUCUUGACUGAAUGGAGAAAGAAACUUGUACGGUUUUGUUUCUGCAGACAGUAAGAUAAGUAACAGUUAUGGACUAACAUCACUGGUAGCAAUGUACAGCAAAUUAAUGAGAAAGCAAAGUGUCAACAGACUUCUGGGCAUACAAUAAUAACAAACAUAGUAGAAGAGGAAUCCAAUAUCACAUCUUAUGCCAUUUACCUAUUUGCCAACUUACGUUUCCACAGGCCACUGAAAGCAAUAGCCACUUGGUUAUGGCAGAAGGUUACAUAUUAUAAAAUAUUUUCGUGCUUCUUUCCAGAGUCAGAAGUACAUAUAUAAAUGAAUUAGAGAAUUAAUAGAAGGGUGCAGGAAACCUUAAAAUCCUUGCUUCUAAGAGAUUAUAGUGAAAAAUAAUAAACAGAUAUCAAAGAGAAAAGGUGUGUUUGAACUACUUCCACCUGUUAAGUAUAAUAAUCUCUCUUUCAUUUUGAACAGUUUUGAAGCAUCAAACACCUUGUGAAUUUCUUACAUAUCUGGGCUUUGGAAGCCUGAUGUUGUACAGGGUAAAUAUUUAAAUCUUUAAGGUGGAUACUGAUGUGAGUGGAGAAUACAAACAUAACAACUAUGCAUUGCAAUAAAUGAUAAAGUGAGAUUGUUGAGUUUUAGCAGUGCAAGAAUUACAUGACAUUAGCAGUAUCCAAUAGGUCUUGGAUGGAGAAAUCUUAGUAAAGGCUUUCUGUUCAGACAUGGUUUUAUAAGUAACAUACGUUAUUCAGGUGUGGAUAUAUGAUGAGAUUUUUUAGACUGUUGCAUUAUUCCAAUAUUAACUUUAGCAUAUACCUUUGAUAGUGAUAACUCCCAAUUUAUGCAGUGACUAUGGUUAUGAUCAACUGAGUAACCCAUGAAAAGAAUUCCACAUGAUGAUUUAAAAAUAGUCAAAUAUUCUAAUUUACAGCAUAAUUAUGUGAAAAAAUAUAUAAAUACAAUUUUAUAUUACUUAAGAAAAUAGUUUUUAUUCAGGAAACUUACAUAAGACACUGAAUGAAUUGAACAUAUAUAUUUUAAUGACAAGCAAACAGCAAUAAAAUUAGGAACACGUUAAAGUUUGUCCUGCAUAUCCCUAAAAGAAUACUGAAAAAUAAUUCAAGAGAAUUGUUUUCUAAAACCUAUUGUGUAUUUGUUUAGAUUUUAUAGAAAAUAAUGAUCACAUGAAGCACACCGCAUCAAUUAGGUUUAUAGAAACAAAACACUGUGUUAAUAGUAAUAUGCAAGUAAAUUAACUGUUAUCUCACACUCUUAAAUGUAUUAGUAGUAAUAUUAAACUUCAGUGUAACUGAAAGUACUGCUAAAUUUAAAGCAAAUAUCUGAUUUUUAAAUUGACAUUAAUUGAAGCCCCAAUCUCUCUCUCCCUACCUCUGUAAUCGAUUAGGUUUGAAUACUUACACAGCAAAUCUCUGAAGUCAUUUCAGACCCAGCGUUUGUGUGCAGAAAACAUUACAUAAGUCAUUUCAAAUACUAAAAAAAAAUAGAGAAAAUUUAAUUGUGGAUUAGAAAAAAUCGUUGAAUAAAUUAUAUUUAUUAUAUUUUCUGAAUGAUUUCCUCUUUAAUAAGCAGACACGCCAGUAGAAAACAGCCAUUGGAAUAUCUAUUAUCUCUUCAUCCUUUUAUCCUCUUGCAAUUCUCUUGGGGAAGCAUACAUGUAUAUGCUGCAUGAAAUGUUAUUAACUGACAUUAAGUCUCUCAUCCCCUUAGGCCGUGGAUUUUUUCCUGCUACUUUACUGACCAUUAAGCAGCUCUUGUGGAUGUGAUCUGGAAAUUAUUGUAUUUAUACCUUAUAGAGCACAUGUAUUAAACUGCUCAUUAGGUUUUGAUAUUACAUGACUUCAUAAGCCUCAUAUGAGCUACAGCAGCAAUUAUGUUUUAGUAUAAUGAUGUGAAAAGGACAAACUAUUGGUUCUUUAAAUGUGUGCCGAAGUCUUUUAAAAUAUUAUCUGUCAUCUCUAAGGUGUCUGUUUUUAACUCUUCUUCAUGUCAUAACUAAGUAUGAUUAAGGACAAAGUAAGACUGCCUGCUUUGAGUGCUGUCAGAAGCCACAGGGAACCUUUUUGCUCCGGCUGACUUGCACUGGUGGAAGGCAAUACUUUGUGGCUUGUGCUUUGAGAGGGAAAAUUAAGAUGGUGCUACAUGUCCAGACAUGCCUCUGAAGAAUGUUGGAAAGUUGACUAUCUAAGUUUGUGCAGCAAAGGAUUUGCUGAUAGAUAGCAUGAGAGGUAGCAUGGUGAGAAGGAAAUUAUACCUAUUGCACAGAUACCUCAGCUGCAUUCUCCACCAAUUAUUUUGAAAAUAUUUUGCUGUUUGUACCCUUCUUCUUUAUAACAGCACCAGCAGAGCACCAACUAGAAUGCAUCUAUCUCCUUCUUACUUUCCAGUUUUUCUCAGGUGUCUUAGAUCAGAAGAUUUCAACCAAUUUUAAUAUUCAUUCUAUUUAAAACAUUGUCUUUUUUUCCCCCAAAUCUUAAAGGCUCAAAACAGUUCCCCAUGGGAAAACUAAAGACUGUACCAACACAAGAAUCUCAUUAUCUUUUGCACCUGCACUUUCUGUCUAUUUUUAUAUUUUAUGAUGCUGCAGUUCUUUCUACAGUCAUACUGACUGCAUUAAAUUAUGUAAAGGCAGAGUCUUGUGACACCUCUGAACCAACAGGCAGGAGAAUACAAAAUCUUUCUUUUGCUCUCACCCUGACUCAAAAUUAAAUUCCAAAAAUUAUAUGCAAAUAAUAUCACCACUCUCAGUUUAAUGAAUGGAAUCAAAGAACGGCAAGGGCAAAGACGUAAGUUUUAUCCUCUGCUAGUACUGAAGAAUUAGCACUAGAAUUAGUAUGAAUUUGCAUUACUAAAUGAUCAUUGAAUGACAUGAUAACUGGGUGCAAUUCAAGUUUGUUAAUAUUUCUAAACGAUAGCAUCGUUUUUUUUGCUUAAGGCUCAGGGCUGAACAAGGAGCACUGACUUCCCUGCCACAGACUUGCAAGGUGACCUUGACAAAUCACAGAACAUAUCUGUACCUCAGUGUGAGACAGGAGAAAUUAAAACAUUUCCUAGCUCACAGAGGCAUUGGUAAAGCUCAGUUAAUCAAAGUCUUUCAAGAUCUUUAGACAGAAUAAUCUAGAUAAGAGCAAAGUAUUAUUAUUCUUACUAAAGAGGACCUCUCCUGAGCACUUAAUUUUUCAUUUUAUACAAACUUUUUUGCUUAUUUACACUGUCAGCAUACAGAGUGAUAGAUCCUUCUGACCUGAUUUGUGUGAAGCUUGUCAAGAUACAGAUGUUUUUAGCACUAUAUCCCUGUUAGGAUAUGACACAAUACAUCAUAACAGCUCCAUCAGAGCCAUUAGGGUGUAAGUUGUCAAUGCAUAAUAAGAUUACUAUGCGUUAUAGCAGGUGGUGCUCAAAUAACACUGAAGCAUGAACACUGUGGUAGCAUCUAGAAUCCCUUUGAAUACUGGUGUUGCAAUACCUUUCUAAUGUAUCUAGCAUUAUCUUUUUGUAGUAAAAUAUUUCUUGUUGUGCAUGAAGAACUAUUUUUUUGGUAAAAUAAGUAACUGUUACAUUUUUGUUGUUUCAGAAAACGUAGAGGUCUACAAAUGUUUCUGUUUGCAAAAGAAGUUGUUUUUGUUUAAAUGAAGGGCAAAGCCUGCCAACAACUCUGUAAAUAUUAGCCAAAUAUGUUCAAAGUUUUACUGUUAGAAAACCAGCCUGUAAGAAGUUUGGAUUCAAAAUGGCUAUUGAAACAGUACUGUCAAAAGGUUCUAUUUAUAGAUUUUAUAUACAUACAUAUAUAAAUAAAUGGAAAAUGUUGUUUUAUGCACAAUAUUAAUGAGUAUAAUUGAGCCUGGAAAAAUGAGACAUUCAAAUAAUUUUAAGUUGGUGUCUGAAAAACUCUGCUGGUUUUCUAUCUAGGAAAGACAUCAAGGAAAAGAAUCAGCAGAACUUGCAGAGAAAGACUCAAUACUGCUAGGUUUGUACCUCCCUGUCAGUAUAACCUAUGAGCAUUACCCAUUCACUGGUGAAUUUAUGCUUCUCAUGCAUUUGUGAAGGAUCUCUUCUUAAGGAGAACUGAAAAACUGGCUUAUUGAGGAUCACGAUAAAGUCUGUAGCAGAACAUAGAGGAAAAGUGAACUUUGCUGAUAUUUUCAUAUCAUCACUAUUAAUCUGUAAUUCAAUGUGUGAAGCUUUUUCACAUUAUUGCAUUAUUCCUGAAAUGCACUCCAAGCAGGCAAACUGGCAAGCUACAGUGACAUACAUACACAUAUGUAGAUUUUGCAUGAGGUCUUAUAUGUGCAUUCACAUCUGCCUGUAUGGAAGCAGGUUGAGGUAGGUCUUUUAUAAAGUGAGAGAUGAAGGAAAAGUGCAGAAUUCAAAUGCUUACAAUGUUUUCAAGCCUUUGCAGAGAAGAAUGAGGUGAAUGGCUUUAAAGAAAAUUUUUCAUAUUUAGGCAUUACUGCAUCUUCAGUAGGUAUGAGUCCUCCUAAACAUGGAAGUUAUAGCCUCUCCCAGUAAGAUGUAUAGUGACUGUGUGAGAUGUAUGAUUUUCUUUCUGUGCAGUAGAGGCAACAGGCAGGGACUGACCUAUGAUCAGAAAAGUCCGAUAAAUUUUCCAGGAAUAUAUAUUCCAAAUGAUAAAAAAUUGAGUAAGAAAAGGAAACAGUCCAGUCAUUUUUCAUAAAUGUGUUGUUCAAAGACUUCCUCAUAAAAAAUCAAAUAUCUUUCUGGUACAGCAAAGAAAGGUAAAUAAGAUAUGCAUUCUGACACUUACACAGAAUAACAAGCAGGAAACAUGCUGUGGUCCUUGAAGAAGACAUAGAGUACAAAUAAAUAAAAGAAAAUACAGAAAAGGAAAGAAAAAAUUAAAGAAAAAAGAAGAAUGGGGAGGAACGUCAAUGAUAUGACCCGUGGCAUGAAUACAGUCUCUUUCUGUUAUUACAGCAAACAGAAAGAAGUUAGAAAUAGAAAUGCUUUCAAAUAAAGGCUAACAUGGGGGAAACAAUAAACUGAAGGGAAGACUUGCUCAUCUAAAAGACUAUCUAACAAAAUAACUUGGAAAUAACCUUCAUUGUUUUUUACUCAGGUUAGAGUAGAGUAGUUCACAUGGAGGAGAGAAGUCAAAGAUGAAUUGAAUUUGCUCAGGAACAAAAUUUCCACUCAUAAAAAUGGGAGCUUGUACUGGAAAGAAAAAAAAUAUAUGAAAUGCUGGGAAUGAUCUAGACCAAGUAGCAAAGAGUGAGAGUUCUGAAAACAAACCUAUCUUUGUUUCCUCCAUGUAAAGUUUGUUAAAAAAAAGAAAUGUUUAAGAUCUAGAAGUCUUCUGCAAAUGAUAUUAAAGGAGGCUAUUCUUAUAGAUCUAUAAAGCCAAAGGCUAAGUAAUGGUGGAAGAAAAGGAGAAAAGUUUAUUCUAACACCCUCCCAUGCUGAGCAAGAACACUGAAGACCAUAUCUUUUCAAAAGCAACAUUUGCUGAGACAGCAGGAUUUUUUUUUCCAGAAAUUAAAUUCUUCUUUGCCCCCAGUACAAAGCUGAAUAUUUUUUCUUGGAAGGCUAUUUCUGAGCCACAACCCCUAGACUGUUAGAAACCUUUUAAUUUCCAGCCUAAACUUACUCAUGAACAGUCUAUAUCUAUUUGUUUUUGUGCCAGCACUGUCCUUUUGUGUUAAUUGUACAUCUAUAUCAUGUAGCUAUUUGUAGGUUAUUUCGUAUUUCAAAAGAUAAUAUCAGUAUUUUUAAAAGAAAUCACCAGCUGAGAUUCUGAGGAUAAAAUUAGUUGUUGCAACAGCUGUUUGAUCAUAAAGUUAUUGUCUAAAAAGCUUAUGAACACAAUAAGAUGUGAUUUCACUUCACUUUAGGGGGAAAUAACAUGCUGUAUCUUUUUAUUACUUCUAUUUAUGACAUUCAGUAAUGAAAUAGAGUUAAAAUAAUUUUCAGGAAAACAGAACUUGAUUUAAGAAUAAAACAGACUAGAUGAAGUCUUUAUUCAUUCAUUAAAGGCAAGAGGCUAUUUUUCAACCUUUAUUCAAGAAACUUGAUGAAGUUUUCUUUUGGGUCUGGUUAAUUGUUUGGCUACAAUAUUUAUCAGUAUGACAACUGAUUGACAACUGCAUAACAACCAGCUACUUCAGAAGCAGAUUUGCACAAGUGGAUUUUUGAAGGAAGGAAAUUGAAAGUGUCAAGCUGAGAGAAUGAAGAGUGUCCAGGUCUAUGCAAACAUACUGUUGAGAUUAUACUGCUAGGUUGUAAGCCCUUCUGAGCAAUGAUAGUCCCUUUCCAGAUGCCUGUGAGCAUUACCUAUCUUUAAUGCAUUAGUAUAUAGAAAACAUACAUGUUUUCUCUCUUUCCUCUUCAAAGGAAAAAUGCAGAGUAAAUUUCAGUCUGUCAGAAUCUUUAGGAAACAUUACAGGGAUUUCCCUGCAGCACUUUCAUUUCUAUGCAGAACAAACUGAAGAGGUGCAAAGCAGUAUAUCAGAAAUUCUGUUUCUUGGUUGUAUGAAACUUCAGAUUUACCUUCCUAUUCUCAUUAUUAAUUACCUGCAAACCCUCCAAGAACACUUUCUGUGCCACAGCUGGACACUUUUUUCUCUACCCUCAUCUGCCAAAAGGUUGGUACUCUGUCAGAGAUGAGCUGGUGUCUCAUUUCUCUCUAUCCCUCUGUUUUUUCUCUUGCGCAUUCUGGCAUCGCAGGGCUCUUCUUUAUUAACCUUUUCCAACUGAAUAAGCCAGAACAACACAUGACUUCUGACCUGAAGCAAUACAGCCAAGUGAGUAGGCUGGCUAUCUAUUUGCACUGCCUUUCUACACGAGGUCCUUUUCCUCGGUAGACAUAAUGUACCAGAGAUGUAUUAGAGAUAAGGAUAAUGUGUCUGUCUGCCUGUUCUCCCUAUAGCUUUGGGAGACAAGCAGGAUGAAUAUGAGAGUGCAGUGGUAUGGGCCAAAUGCAAUGAGACUCCCACAAAUAUGGUGAGAUAAAAUGCUGUGGACAUGAGCCAUAGACCCAAGAGAUUUUCACACAAGUGAUCACACCCUUGACAAGCUGGCUGAAGUUCAAUCCUAAAAGGCCAAACAGUUUGUCUGCAAUAGACAGAGAAGAUAAGACUUCCUGACAGAAGUCUCUUCAUUUAAUUGUGUAAUCCUCCACACUGAUCAAGGAAGAAAACUUAGGGUCAUUGCUCAGUGAAUUGCCUUACAAUGCACGACAAUUACAUUGGAAGCAAAACAAAGGUACCAGCUUAUAAAGAGAAAAAGAAAAAAGAAAAAAGAAAAAAAAAAAGGAAAUCUCUAGUUCAGUUGGACAGAUUUGCAAGGAUCUUCGAAAAUGUGAAGGAAAUGGCUUUCUUCAAUCAGUUGUGUCUGUGUGGAGAGUGAAGGUGAAUAGUCUCAGCUCGGGAGGAAUGUAAUUUGGAAAGGUACGAGCAGCUGAGAAGGGAUUCUCAUGGGCACAGCGUUUGAACACUAAAGUGGCGGCUAUCUUUCCCACUGCAAUAAAAGGGAAGCUGGUAACAAUGGUGUGCUAUAAAAAGCAAAGGAACAUUUUUCUUUGUCAAACAACCACACCUCUCUGGCAGUGCUGCUGCUGUUGCUGCAGUACACUGGCUGAAAUCCACUCUGCCUUUGAACUCUACUGUUACAGAAUUUCAAUUAAAACUGAAAACCACACAAAGGUUGUGGGCAUAAAGAAUACCAAAAAGACACAUCCAUACCAUUGAUUGUUUUUGUUUUUCUUGGUCUGAUUAGGAAAUAAUGAUUUAAGCUGAUGGUGAGAUCCCAGGUAUUGCUGUAUAGGAAAAUUUUACCUAAUUAAAGAUGGGGAAGAACUAUAGAAAAUUCUCCAAGAUCAGAGCUGCCAUUCAAAAGAAAAAGUCAUACUGGGGUUCAAAAUCCCUCCAGAAACUGUUUCACUCCAUUAAAAAAAAAAAAAAAAAAAAAAAAAAAAAAAAAAAGUAUUUGAAGCCUGGAGGAAGAAUACUAUUUAAGAGAGUUUUUACCUUAAGUGAUGUACCCAACAAGGCCUUAUGUAUGCUGCAACAAGCUACAGUACCUGCAGGGUGCUUAUCUACCAUGGAAGUCUUCUAUUAUCUCAUUCUUUACAUGAAUGAAAGUUGAAUAAAGUUUCUUCUUUCUCAGAAACCAUUACACUGAUUUGACUGGGUCUGGAAGUAGCAGAAUGUUUUCCACCCAAUUAUUUUCAACUGAUUGAGAAUGUAUUACUUUACUCAUAGGCACUUUGGAGUUUCAAUGACUAUGUGAAGGACAGUACUUCCAGUAACAUUUAGAAACAUUCUGAGUGGAGAGAAGAUGAAAAGAAAAACCAAAACCAAAAACAAAACCACAACCAAGCAAAACACUUAGUUGUUUAAAAAUGCAUCCAUUUUCUCAUGUUUUGUUUUUUUUUUUUUUUCUUCUGGAAAUCAAUGCUGCAAGUUAUUGUUGUUAAUUGUAAUGAGAUCAUAAGUUUAGAAAACAUUCCCUCAUAAAAAAACAAAUGUCUUUUAAUAAAGUAUGAGAAUUGUGGAAUGACUAUUGGUAAUAAAAAUGAAAUCUGACAAAGAAUACAGAAUAGCCACAGUGGGGAUAACAGAUAUAUUUCUUUGGAACUGUUAGCUGCAUUAACAUCAUAUAAAACUGUGUUCUAAGAUAUCUGAGUUCUAUGUGAAGGAUCAUAUGUAAAUUUUAACUAAACUGGAGCCAUUAUAUUAUCAUAGGUACAAUGUGCUAGAUAGAAGGCUGUUUCACAUCCACUGAAUAGAUGUGUAUGUUCAUGCAUGUAUGCAUAGCUGUAUGUCUAUAAAUAUAUUCAUAUGUUUAGAGAAAACUUGAACUGGUGGAAAACUGAAAGGACAGGAAGAAAGCAUAGUUUGACUAAAAAGAUAGUUGUUCCAUCUUUCUGUUUCUUUAUUCACCAUAUUUACAUUUUAAUCAGAAGUUGGACUCAAUCCUUAGGCAUCCCUUCCAACACGGGAUAUUCUAUGAUUCUAUGAUUCUAUAUUUAUUUCCCUGCUCACUUCUUUUGUAUAAAACCUACUUUCUAAUUCAGUUGGGUAACUCAUCUUUAAUAUUAUUUUAACAGAUCUUGUCUUACUUUCAUGGAGUAGUCACAGCAAAGGUUGCAUUGUAAAAGAAAAUUGCCUCACUACUGCACUGGGUUUUCUAAUUACUAUAUCUGGUACCACCAUUGGAUAUUUGGAGAAGAAGAAAAGAGAGAGGAAAGAGAGACCACUGUUAAUCACCCCUUACUAGUAGUUGAGGCCCUCAACUUGUUAUUUAAUUUUCAGUUUUACAUACCUCGAUUUCAGAAAACAAAUGAUAGAAAAAGAACCUCAGCUGCAUACCCCGGCUUGCAGGCAAACCUCUUCUAUAAAUAUGUGACCAUUUUAUGAAACUGUAUGGAAGAGAAAAUACGACUAUGAACUUAUGAACAUGUCGAGUGUUUCCCAAAAGAGUUUUAUGGUUUUAUGAUCUAUGAGUUGAAUCAACUCAAAGGAAACUUGAUUUUAUUAAGAACAGCAUCUCAGAACUCAUCUGUGGGUUUGGAUUUCCAACACACUCCUGUAAAUUUGUUGAAUUAUUUAUUUGCAGUGAUGAGACGAGAACAGGAUUCUUCAAGUGGGCUGUACAGUUUGCAUGUCUUACAAAAAAUCUGAUCCAGAAAGACAGAUCUCCAUCAUUCUUAUAUAAGUCUUUUAUAAAUUUGCCCACUGUUAUUGUAAAAUUAGUCUUUUUACAGGAGUGAAAUUUCAAAUUGCUGAAACACUUUCCUGUAGAAUCAUGAAGUGAGAAGAAAAAAUUGAGAAGUAUUUCUGCCUGUAUGAGGAAACACAUGAGCACUGAUACAGAAGGUAUCAAGCCAGCUUGCUGACCAUUGCUUCUAGGACAGCUGGAAGGUCAUGGGAAAUAUUCCACUUCACCAUUCCAAAAUCCUUGCCAUUCCAGUUUGCCUCUUUUCAUUAUUUUUAUUAUACAGAAGCCCAGCAUGUUGUUAGGUCUUUGACAAGGAUUUGAACAAAAUUUAAUAUAUAACUACAUUAUUGAAGGAGUCAUAGAAUUAUAGAAUCAUAGAAUGGUUUGUCUUGGAAGGGUUUCUUAAGAUCCCUAGUUCCAACCUCUCUGCUAUAAGCAGGGACAUCUCCUACUAGACCAGGUUCCUACAUGCCCUCAUAAAAAGUGGCCUGAUAGCUGCCUUUCAGUAUCUAAGGGAGACCUACAGGAGAGAAGGGGACAGACUCUUUGGCAGGGUCUGUGAUGAUAGAAAAAGGGGAAAUGAUUUCAAACUAAAAGAGAGGAUAUAAGGAAAAAGUCUUUUACAGUGAGGAUGGUGAGGCAUUGUAACAUAUUUCCCUGAGAAAUGGUGGAUUCCCUCUCCCUGGAGACACUGAAGAUCAGGUUGGAGGAGUUCUAAGCAACAUGAUCUACCUUUGGAUAUCCUUUUUCAUUGCAAGGAUGACCGUUAAGGGUUCCUUCCUACUCAAAUGAUAUAUGAACUUGAGCACACCCUUUCUUUCUUCCACGAUUACCCACGGAAUAUGAAAGUAAUAGAAUGUCUACUGCAUACUUGCUUUCCUUACCCCUGCCUCUCCCCAGGUUUUGCAGAUUGUAUCUGCAGUUGCAUUUUUCAUCACUUCCUCUUGAGAUUGUGGGAAAGUGAGGACAAAGUAUGACAUUAAAAACAAUUUGACUCUAAAAGGAAAAAAUAAACCAGACUAUUGCUAGGAAAACAUUAUUGAAAAUCCUAUGAAAAUAUAAAUACAAUUUAUUUUGGUAUCCUUAAUCCUCUUAAAAUGGAAGAAUUAAGCCCAAGAAGCUGUUUAACUGCAUGUAGAAAUCAUGGUGAAUUUAUCUUCAUUGGGUGACCUCAUCAAAUUAUUCUCCACUGCUGUGAUUUUUUUUGAAGACAGCUCAAUAACAUUUGACUCCCAGUUCCCAUUAGAAUUUAAUGAGAACUGGGCCUCUAAGUCCCCCAGAUUCCUUUGAAAAUAACCCAGCCUAUGAUAAAAUAAUACAGUUCUGUGCAUCCUUAAUUUCUGACAGCAUGUUCAUGUCUGGAAUAUUGAUUGCAACUGCUACUGCCAAGCACACAGAUCCCAUCACUCUUGCCUGCUUUUCCAUUAUGUCAUAAAUAGAUAGCACAGCUCAAUAGAUCAUACAGAUAGAUGGAGCUGGACUACUUACAUGGACUUGCAGGAAAAAACAACUAAUAAUAACCAAGUAUCUAACUUGAUUGGACAAAUUACUUGAAUGAUUUUUAAAAGCUCUGAAAUGAGUAACUUCGAAGAGUGAAUAACGGCGAAAACAAGGCCAGGUCCAACAGUAGUAAUUAGAUUCAAGUAAAAAAUAAAACUCAAUUGGAAAGUUUUAAAGUCUUUGUAUUAUGCAAGUAACCUGGAAAGUUUGUGGUACCAGAAAUGGGAGUUCAAUUAAAUAUUUGGAAAGCCAAAAACAAACAAACAAACAAACAAAAAAAAACCAAAAACCAAAAAACAAACAAACAAAACAAAACCCAAAACCCAAAACAAACAAAACAACAACAAAAAACCAGACAUGCAAGCAGAAUCAUUUAGUAUCCUGCUAAGCUGAAAACACAUUCAAACUAAAACGAGAACUCAGGUGGUUGAAUAAGCAAUAGGAAAAAAGGAACAGAGUUGUCAAAAUAAAAUAUAUUUCAGACUGACUUGAGUAAAAUUUUAAUCCUUGAUUUCAUUUUUCGUGUUUGUACAUUUGUUCCCAGCAGUAAAAUCACAACAUCAUUUCACAGAAAGGUAAGGAAAGGAAAGGAAAGGCAAAGAAAAAGUGCUGGUGAUUCAGCCUCCAGGCUCUCCAUAAAACCUACUAGGAAGCAGAAUGCAAAGUUGUUUUUGUAUGUCCUACUGUGACUUAUCAUGUUAUUAGAAGUCUAUUUCCUCAUCUUUCUGGGGAAAAAAAAGAAAAAAGUGACAACUCAGGAAGAUCACUGUUGGGCUUCAUUCUUCCAUGGAAUUAAAAAAAACGAAACAAAACAAAAAAAAUCCAAAGCAAACAACAAAAAAAGCAACCUGUACUCAGCAGCUAUGGUUUGCAACACUGCACCAAGAUUAGGUUAGAUAUUCAUUUUAAGAGCAGGCCAUUACUUUUGCAGUACUUCUGCAGGAGUAAGACUAAGGAAAUAGCCUAACAGAUCUCAUUCAUAUGCAGCAACUCACCAGUCUCAAUAGAUAGGAUUAACUUGGAUUCUUCACAGGGAAUCCAAUUUCAUAAUUAUUUUGUUUAGUUUUAUCAUUUUAUUUUAUUUUUACUUUAUUUAAUGAAUUUAAAUGAAAAUAUCUAGAAAUCUAUCAGGAACUGGGACUCCAUUUUGUCCCCUGUAUGUGGGGCCUACUAUAAAACUGCAAAACCAAAAUUGUGGUUCAUAUUCUUUUAACAUCUCCAAUCUAAAGAGGAAAGAUAAAACUGAGAUACAGAGGAUUUGGUGUCCAAGGAGCCAGUGGAAUGCCUAAGGGCAGUUUAAAGCAAACUUGAAUGUUUACACAGUCUCAAACCACCCUUCUUUUCUGAACACACCAGGGGAGACAAAAUUUGUCAUCCUAGCAGGCAGGAGUGUAAGUACAUCUCCUGCAUACCUGCUGCCAAAGGGUAUUUGUAUGUUUGAAAGUUACUGCGGCAAAAGAAUGUCAAGCAAUGACUUAAAGACUGAUGAAGUGCUUUCUGGACAUCACUGAUGAAGUUCUCCUUAAAGCAGGUGGCCUAGCAUCAAACAAAAUAUAAAUAUACCUGCUGGAAAAAUAGAAUGAUUAGUUAACAUCGUAGGGCAAACAAAUGUUAAACUGACCUCAAGUCCAAAGGAGAGAUGAAAGACAGAUGGGGGCUGGUGAAUGCACUUGAUAAUGUUGUUGGGAGCCUUAAAUCUGGUGGACAGAGAAACAGGAACCUUUGGAUGGAUGGAUGUAUAGGGUGACAAGGAUGAAACUAUGGAAAUCUGAAAUACUACCUCCUGGUACAUUUGCAUUUCAGGAAUCUGAGCACUUAAAUAGAGAGAGGCAGUGGCGAUGAAAUGGAAGAUAAGUUUUACUCAUGAAUUAGUUGUAAUCAUCUGUAAUAUUGUGUUAGCUGGAGAGCAAACGUUUAGGAGCAUGAUCAGGAAGAUUAGUUGAUUUUCCACUUGUAUCAUAUAACGUAUGAAUACAACAAAUUCUGCAACAUAUUAAAUAUAUAUGGAAUUAUUUUAUUUUAACUUAUAGCAAAGGUGAUUUACUUCUUUACACAAGAAAGAUUCCUAUGACCAUUUGUAGUCAUAGAACUUAGCAGUCUAAGUUCCAAAGUUGAAACUUUAAUUGGAACUAUAGGAAAUCUCCUCUGAUAGCUCUGAUAAUAGAUAGCUCCUCUGAUACAUCUAACCAGUAAUAAUUUCACAUCUAUAGAUUUUUGAUGUGGCCUUUUAAUGUACUUUUGGAUCCUCCUGCAUGAUGAUGAUUCUGGUCUUGCAAGCUGCUGUGUGUAGGCAGCCCCUGACACCAGAGACCACUGCUGUGGGAGUUAGAAAGUCUGUGCUCAGAUGGAAAGGUCAAACUGCACAGAAUAGCUUGCAGGUUCAGAAGCCUGCCUGAAAUACUCUCAGCUUAGAACAAACCUGAAUUACUUUGUGAGUAUGAAACAUUUAACACGAGAGCCUGCAAAAAGUGGUAAAGGUUUUGUAUAUAGCUGUCUAAGAUGAGCUAACCUAAGACUUAAUUAGCUAUUAUAUACAAAGAAACCCUUUUUAAUAAAUAAUUAAAUAAUUAAAAUCCUGGCCUGUGACAGUAGCAAAAUCAGUUUUGCAGUUGGAAGUCUACUUCUGUGCUUUCUUUAUUAUUAAAUACAUCAUUUUAAGAAGGCAAUUUUGAACUGAAUAGAUGUGAAUCUAAGAACACCAAAACCCACUUUGUGUCUUGAUAGAAACAUUUUUUGUGUGUGUUUUGAUCCUGGAAAUUUCACAUCUCUCUUUUAACUUUCUUAAGAAAUAACAUUACUUCUGUUUCUCCAGUCGUUUACUUGCUUAAACUCCAGAGCAUACUGGUGUGCUGCAUAAUUGGAACAAAGCUUAAUAUUGUAAAUAAAAACCUUUACCUCCAAAUCUGCAGAGGAACUGUAUUUAAAGAAAUGAAACAAAAUAGAAUUUAAAUGCUUAAAUACAAGAUAAUGUUUAGAAACUUUAGCUGCCCACAAUCAAACAUUCCCAGCUGAAGUUUGAUUACUUUGGCUUGCAUUUAUCUGAUACUAAAAAAAAUAAGGAUUGGUUGUCAUCGAGGUAUUGGAAAGUGACAAAUAUAAUAUAAUUUCUAAAAAGAAUGACCAUCAACCCAGUACUGCAUACAGUAUGGAUGAAAGAAAGCCCUUUUUACCUAGCUUCAAAUUCCCCACAGCCUUCUGGAUUUUACAUAUUUACCACAGGUACUCAUAGAACUGAGUUGUUUGAAAUGUGAAAAUGUCUGAAUGUGUUUUCAGGAGCAGCCUGAAUAAUGUGGACAACACAUCAACAGAGAGCAAAACUAAUACAGAUACACUGAAUAAAAAGGACAGAGAGGGAGAAAAAGAUGUAGAUGAAAAUGCAUAACAACAGGGCAUAAAAACAGUGUCAAUAUCCUUAUCUAUUUAAUUAAUGUUGGAAAUAAGUUUAGUUAAAAUUAUGCAAUAAUAAUUAAUUAACAAUCUAACUCUAGAUUCUCAUGUCAUUAUUCAUCUUUAAAAAUAUUUGAUACAGUGGUUAUUGAUGAGUUUUGUAUUUUUCUAGUAGCUUUGCUAACCCCUGAUUAUUACUGCUCAUAUAUUGACCUUUUUGCCAUAUGUUUUGAUCAACUUUGAAUUAUUAGUAUUUAAAUUUUCUAACAGAUUAUUGAAGUCUCAAAAUACAAUGGUUUUUGUAGCAAAAUCAUUAAUGUGAUAAGAUGCAGAUCAAAAGGAGUGUUCACCACCGUGAAUACAAAUAGUACAAUAUGAAUUAAUAUGAAAAAAUGAAACACUGUGAACAACAGACUUCCAUUAAUGUGUUAGUGAGCAUAUUAAUGACAAAAUUGCUGAAAGAUACAAUGAAAAGUCUCAACUAAGAAAAAAAAUAUGGAACAUUUCUCAGAAUAUAAAUGAAUUCCUAAAUGAAACAAUUUAAAGGUUAAUUUGGUAUUAUUUCCUGGAUAUGUGUGUCAAAUUUAUUCAUUGAUCAAAAGCACUCUUUUACACAAACAAACAGAUAAAUGCCCUUGAUAAUAAACAGCAAUUGAAAUGCUACAUCAGGUGAUAGUGCAGACUACUUUCCUUUGGUCUAGUGAGUCAUUCAGGGAGUAAGACUAUCUUAUCCACACAGACCCAGUGUACUGAAAUUUAUGACAGUCAUUCACAGUUUGGGGGCUGCUAGAUUGCAUACGUUCUUUCAAAGAGAUCUUAUUAGGUAUUCUGCUGCUGAGGCAUCUGCUGGUCAGGGUAAUCUUGAUGCAGGUCAUGUAGAAGACUUGUGGACAUGAAGAACAGCAUUUUUCCAUUACUAGCUUGAUUCCAAAACCAAUGAACUAUUAGCUAUGGUGGUGCAGGAGACUUUUCACCAGUGUUUUAUUAAGAAGUCCAGGGUCUCUAAAUUUGGCAGUGCCCAUGGGCCAUAGUUAUAUUCUACUAAUGAGAAAAUUAUGAUACUGACAUCAGCUUCCCAAUCCUUUUCCCUAAAGAAAACACAUAGCAUAUUAAUCUGUAUAAUUAAUGUCAUGUUUCUUCAUAUCCUCUCUCUCCAAUUAUCCUCAAAAUAAUUCUGUUUGACUCCAAAUACCUGAAAUCUUUAAAAACUUUAUACCAAUAUCUCUAUGGUAGAUCUCUUUGAGUGUAGUUGUAACUCAUAACAAAAACAUUGUAUUUCUGUUAACGUAUGGAUAAUUACAUCAGAAGUCACAUACAGACCAUCAUGAGAAUAAUGCUCGUUCUUAUUGCUGUAUUUUGAAAUUUAAAGAUCCUUAGCACUGAAUAAGUGACAGAAGUAUGCACAAUAAAUUUAUACUAUUGCUUUUAAACUCAUAUCUGCCUUUUUGAUAGUAGAGAACAGCAGAGAAAAUAAUUAAAUACCUACAAAAAUAUUUUGUUUGUAUGUGGUGUUUUGGAGAGAAAGGUAGGUAAGAUUUAUUUAUAUUAAUAAUGUGUCACCAUUUUAUGUACCAGAAACUGCAUAGUUAAUAACUGCACUUGAGUUACAGUGAAGAUUUUCAAUACUUUCAAAUGAAAUUUUAUAUAAAUUCUGAUUUGUUUUAAUAAAAUUUAAAUGUUUGGUAACAGCUUA